rnacentral:rRNA from 1 species
UACGUAGGUGGCAAGCGUUGUCCGGAUUUAUUGGGUUUAAAGGGUGCGUAGGCGGCCUUGUAAGUCAGUGCUGAAAUAUCCCGGCUUAGCCGGGAGGGUGGCAUUGAUACUGCAGGGCUUGAGUAAAGUUGAGGUUGGCGGAAUUGACGGUGUAGCGGUGAAAUGCUUAGAUAUCGUCAAGAACACCGAUAGUGAAGACAGCUAACUAAGCUUUAACUGACGCUGAGGCACGAAAGUGUGGGGAUCAAACAGG